rnacentral:lncRNA from 1 species
AUGGAUACCCUGUCAGCGGUGCAAAAGUCAAAGAUUAGUUUUCUUCCUGUAGUAUAUCGGGGGCCAAAUAUGCAGACCAGUAGAUGGUUAGGCUCUUGGGUACCUCCAGGCCCUAUUCAUUCAGAUGAAAACUUGCCUGAUACAGUAGGAAUUGCCAGGACGAGCUGGUUUAUUUACUUUUCUCCUCUUUCCCNUUAUCUUCCUUUCCCCCCCUCUCUUUUGUCACUCUAUUUGGCUUGGCUUGGCCUGCCUCUCCUUCCCCACCCCCCUCCAUAA